rnacentral:tRNA from 1 species
GCCCCGAUGGCGGAAUUGGUAGACGCGCUAGCUUCAGGUGCUAGUAAUCGCAAGGUUGUGGAGGUUCGAGUCCUCUUCGGGGCACCA